UUUGCAUUUCCAUUUAAAGCGAGGAAAAGAAACUAACAAGGAUUCCCCUAGUAACUGCGAGUGAAGCGGGAAAAGCUCAAAUUUGAAAUCUGGUAGUCUUUGGCUGCCCGAGUUGUAAUCUAGAGAAGUGUUAUCCGCACUGGACCGUGUACAAGUCUCCUGGAAUGGAGCGUCAUAGAGGGUGAGAAUCCCGUCUUUGACACGGACUACCAGCGCUUUGUGAUGUGCUCUCAAAGAGUCGAGUUGUUUGGGAAUGCAGCUCUAAAUGGGUGGUAAAUUCCAUCUAAAGCUAAAUAUUGGCGAGAGACCGAUAGUGAACAAGUACCGUGAGGGAAAGAUGAAAAGAACUUUGGAAAGAGAGUUAAACAGUACGUGAAAUUGUUGAAAGGGAAACGCUUGAAGUCAGUCGCGUUGGCCAGGGAUCAACCUUGCUUCUUGCUUGGUGUACUUUCUGGUUAAUGGGUCAGCAUCAAUUUUGACCAGUGGAAAAAGACUAGGGGAAUGUGGCAUCUUCGGAUGUGUUAUAGCCCUUGGUUGCAUACACUGGUUGGGAUUGAGGAACUCAGCACGCCGCAAGGCCGGGUUUUUACCACGUUCGUGCUUAGGAUGCUGGCAUAAUGGCUUUAAUCGACCCGCUG
rnacentral:rRNA from 1 species